rnacentral:misc_RNA from 1 species
GCUUAAACUCAGCGGGUAAUCCCACCUGACCUGGGGUCGCGGUCCGAGCGUCGAGAUGCUACGGUCGUGAAUGGGUCAGUUAGGCCAAGGAGCUAGCUGCGUGCCGGGACACUGCAUCGAGAACAACUUAUGUCGCCCACCACAUGCCGGUGCCCGACACGGUAUGCCGGCAGCCCUAACUUCAGCCCACCAUGCGACAAGGCACGGGGAGCCAAACACCACAUCCGUCCCUGAGGGUGGGUUGGGAGUGUCUUUUGGCGUGACGCCCAGGCAGACGUGCCCUCAACCAGAAGGCCUCGGGCGCAACUUGCGUUCAAAAACUCGAUGGUUCGCGGGAUUCUGCAAUUCACACCAGGUAUCGCAUUUUGCUACGUUCUUCAUCGAUGCGAGAGCCGAGAUAUCCGUUGCCGAGAGUCGUGUGGAUUAAGAUAGCAACACUGCGCGAGGCAUGAUCGGCAGGCCGAACAUGACCCCGAACAAGGCAAUAUCAGUGAUCCUUGACGCCUUCGGCGCCGUGGGUUCUUUGGUGGCCCCUCUCCAACGUAGAGAAGGUGGGGGG